rnacentral:rRNA from 1 species
UGCGUAGGCGGCCUGACAAGUCAGAGGUGAAAGGCUACGGCUUAACCGUAGUAAGCCUUUGAAACCGACAGGCUUGAGUGCAGGAGAGGAAAGUGGAAUUCCUAGUGUAGCGGUGAAAUGCGUAGAUAUUAGGAGGAACACCAGUGGCGAAGGCGACUUUCUGGACUGUAACUGACGCUGAGGCACGAAAGCGUGGGGAGCGAACAGGAUUAGAUACCCUGGUAGUCC